AUUGAACGCUGGCGGAAUGCUUUACACAUGCAAGUCGAACGGCAGCACGGACUUCGGUCUGGUGGCGAGUGGCGAACGGGUGAGUAAUGUAUCGGAACGUGCCCAGUCGUGGGGGAUAACGUAGUGAAAAUUAUGCUAAUACCGCAUACGAUCUAUGGAUGAAAGCGGGGGAUCGCAAGACUGCGCGCGAUUGGAGCGGCCGAUAUCAGGUUAGGUAGUCGGUGGGGUAAAGGCCCACCAAGCCAACGAUCUUUAGGUGGUCUGAGAGGACGACCAGCCACACUGGAACUGAGACACGGUGCAGCCUCCAACGGGAGGCAGCAGUGGGGAAUUUUGGACAAUGGGCGAAAGCCUGAUCCAGCCAUUCCGCGUGCAGGAUGAAGGCCCUCGGGUUGUAAACUGCUUUUGUACAGAACGAAAAGGUUUCUACUAAUACUAGGAGCUCAUGACGGUACUGUAAGAAUAAGCACUGGCUGACUACGUGCCAGCCGCCGCCGUAA
rnacentral:rRNA from 1 species